CCUACGGGAGGCAGCAGUGGGGAAUAUUGCACAAUGGGGUGAACCCUGAUCCAGCGACGCCGCGUGAGGGCAGACGUAUUUCGGUAUGGAAAGCUCUAUCAGCCGGGAAGAAAUUGGCGCUACCUGACUAAGAAUCCCCGGCUAACUACGGGCCAGCAACAGCGGAAUUUCGUAGGGGGCACGCGUUAUCCGGAUUUAAUGGGGUUAAAGGGAGCGUAGACGGGUAUGCAAGUCUGAAGUGAAAGCCCAAGGCUCAACCAUGGGACUGCUUUGGAAACUGUAAAUCUGGAGUGCAGGAGAGGUAUGCGGAAUUCGUAGUGUAGCGGUGAAAUGCGUAGAUAUUAGGAGGAACACCAGUGGCGAAGGCGGCAUACUGGAGUGUAACUGACGUUGAGGCUCGAAGGCGUGGGGAGCAAACAGGAUUAGAUACCCGAGUAGUC
rnacentral:rRNA from 1 species